rnacentral:rRNA from 1 species
CCUACGGGUGGCAGCAGUAGGGAAUUUUCGUCAAUGGGCGCAAGCCUGAACGAGCGAUGCCGCGUGAGUGAAGAAGGCCCUCGGGUCGUAAAGCUUCGUUUCGGGGGAAAUAAGGCAGCACCCGGAAAUGGGUGCUGACUGAUGGUGUCCCGCCAGAUAGUCACGGUUAACUACGGGCCAGCAGCCGCGGUAAUACGUAGGUGGCGAGCGUUAUCCGGAUGGAUUGGGCGGAAAGGGUGCGCAGUCGGUCCUGCAAGUCUGGAGUGAAACGAAUGAGCUCAACCCAUGAAUGGCUUUGGAAACUGGCAGACUGGAGAGCAGGAGAGGGCGGUGGAACUCGAGGUGUAGCGGUGAAAUGCGUAGAUAUCACGAAGAACCCCGAUUGCGAAGGCAGCUUACUAAACUGUGACUGACAUUGAUGCUCGAAAGUGUGGGUAUCAAACAGGAUUAGAUACCCCAGUAGUC